UACAAAUCUUUAUUAUCUUGCACCUCCUGCCACAGCUAUCUUUGAAACAGCUGACAUUCAUAUUUUACAGGCACGUAAAAAGUUACGAAGUGUAAAAUACGCUUUGUAGUUCACAAAGUAAAAAUUCUUGAGGAUUUACUUUCUGUAAACAAAAUUGGGCAGAGAUGUUCACCCCCAAGGGAACAGGCAGGCCCUGUCAUCACAAUGAGCACAUUGAGGAGGCAGUGUUUGCACAGUGUAGAGGCAGAGCAUCUAUCUUGUUGAUAGAUGAGUAGCUUCCCUGGGACUACCUGUGUCAUUAAAAGGCACAAAGAGAAACACACCACAAAGCAGGCCCUGGUAAGUGUGGACACCCCACCAGAAAUCUUAGCACUACCCCAUUCUUCUUAUCACAGCUGGGGGAGGGAGGUGUCACCAUUUCUACUAGCUGUGUGCUCUUGCUUUCUCAAGCAUGAACUGCAGCUGAAGACCGUUGUUUUAGAUGACACCAUACCUAUAAGGUUUAGGGAAUGAUACUCUGUUUUAAAAUAGUCCUAGAUACACUAGGACAAUUUGUUAAUAAAAAGGUAGUUUGGAAGGACCAUCCUAAGCAAUAUGCAGCAGUUAUUGAGCAACAUUAUGUAUUUAGGUAACUCAUUUGGGUUUUUUUUUUUUCCUCCAUCUUCCUGUGUUACAAAGCAAUGAAAAUUUCAGUAGUCAGAGUAACACAAUCCCUACUUGAUCUAACUGUGCCAGUUAUGGAUGGUAUUCAGAGCCCACAAUUUUCUCAUGGAAUUCAGAGGUAAGCCUGUUUAUAGGGUACCUUCUGGACCACAUAUUGCCCCAAAAUCAGUAUCUGCAUAUUUCCUAAAAGUUUUGGCUAAUUUGAUCCAUAAUGAUCCAUUGUUACUUCCCAUCCUCAACCCGAUGCUAAUUCUUUUAAAUUGACAUCCUGAGCAUCUAUAUCAUUAAGAUAAUGGGAAAAGAGCAGACUGAGAAUGAGAGGAAAUAUCUCAUUAGAGCAGAUGAUCUAGGAGAGAACAGCCUGACACAGACUCCAAAUUCUUCUUUUGUGAAUAAUCAGCACUACUCAUCACGGCAGGCAGCAAAAAAACAAAUCCAAAGGAAAUUUCACACAGCUGGCUAAGCAAAAAUAACUGCUCAGGGCUCAUCACUUACUACAGUCCUCAGGGAAACCUCUUCCCAGGUAUCAAACCUCCCAUGUUUGACCUCCCUAGACACACGCCCUUCCAAGAGCUGAAACAAUCCUGAUCUUAAACUCAUGUUAAACAUGCACAGUCACAGUGUUUCCUCUUCUCAAGCCCUGCUCCUAAAACUCGUAUCUGCUGAACAAUAAGCCACCACACAGUAUUUUGUAUGCAUACAUAGUCCUUCAGAGAUCUUAACCCAGGGAAAGAUGUACAGAGGGUGAGGAGUAAGAUGUCUACACCAGGCAGCAAAGGCAUGGGAAGGGAGGGCAAGCACAUGGGGCACCAAGAAAGCUCAAGCAGAGCAGAGGUGAGCUGUGGGCGCAGACAGCAGUCUGUCAGGGAAGAGAGGCUACUUCUUCAGGCAUUGUGAAUUCCAGCCCUGGCUCCCAGAAAGACAUCUGUCAUCCUAGAGAAAGCAAAAGCAGUAUUCAUUGGCUCAGUGCUGGUCACCUCUGACUGACAGAUAGGCACUAGAAGGCACAGGUCUCCCAAGAAAACCAACCUGUUGCUGCAGCACAUCAGAACAACCCACAUCCACUCUAGUAUACAUUCACUUGGCUUUGGUUCAUUAGGAGUUCACUCCAUAGGAGUCAAGAUAUUUCCACUCUUUUCUUUAAUGACCUUCAUCUUGCUAAGAUCUUUUCAUUCCAGAGUUUUAACUUCUUCCCAAAGUCCCAACUGUGUUUCUUCUGACAGGAGACUCCAGCCCAGCAAGCACGCAAUGUAUCCAGUGUGGAGCCAGUGCUGCUACUCCUGGAGCACCCCAAGUGCUGAACUGACCCAGGUGCAGAUGCCCCAGGCUGCGUGACAAGACUUGCACAUGUCCUAUCAGAGCACCUAAUUGAUUUAAUAGUCGAGUACCAAAACUGCUUAAAACAAACCAAACACUUUGAUAAAACCAGAUCUGCAAAGUCCAUAUGCAGAUAUAAAGCAUUUACAAACACAUGGAUUUAUCUCGUAAAAAAUUCAAUAUCAUUCUCUUCACACACCAUCAUCUCCAACAUCUAGGCAUUUUAACCACAAAAGAGUUUGGCUAAGAUUUGUUUUCUUAAAUGGAUAUCUACAUUUCAGAUAAACCUCUCAAAUUUAGGCACCUGGUUUGUAUAUAAAGCAUCCUCUUAACCUGCUGCACCCUAGAGCUGAGCUCACACUGCCUUGGCAACUACACCUGUGUUACACUGCAGCACAGCUUUCCACAUACUUCCCCACAUCUAGCAGUAGGGAAGAAAAAGACAUAUACCAAGUAUGCUUUCCUCGGUGACCUUUCAGAACUAGACUGAACAAAAUGGGCUCCCCCUGCUUCUGUGAAAGUGCUUGGCAUAUGAUAACUUUUAAUUUGCACAAGAUGUAAAGUUCACAUGAUUCCCCCACUAGCUUCCUCGGUACACUUCUCCUGUCCUGUGCCUGCCAGCUCCUCUGAGGCUGAAACUACCAAAGCUGCUUCAUCUUCCAAACUAAUGAUCCAAAGCACAGCUUGUCCAAAAAAAGUCCCAUCAUUCAGUGCUUCCCACCAUCCAGCAUAUACAUGCACUCAGAAAACUCAACACACUGUUCUCCUCCAAACAGAGGGUUUGGUUUGCUCUGCUCUGUAACUUGGACAAAACACUUCUGCCUAUUCAGGACAGAAAGCUGCUAUUUACUCUUGAAUUCACAUGUAAAUGGCUUAUAAUAGCCAUCUCCUGAAAAAGUACACCUUCAUUUCUAUGGAAGAGCAGCAGGGUUUUCUGAUAUUCAGAGAACAACAUGAUGUCAUGUUUGAUACAUGCUGGUAAGUCUCUCAACUUCUAAUCAAAGACUUCUUGAGUUUAUACUUCUCCUGUUUGUGAUCUCAUGCUGGGGCAAUUUCCUCUGCUGAAGCUAUGGUUAGGUACCAUAGUGGUAGGAACAUCUGUAUGGGGUCUCUGGUACAGAUGAACCUAAUAGGACAAC